rnacentral:lncRNA from 1 species
GGGGAGGGGCAGCCAAGGUUCCCGGAGCCAGGCGGGAAUUUGGGAUGAUCCCAGUCUCCUUGCCUGCCAUUAUCAAACAACCCAAAGGCAGGGAGACCCAACUGCCUGGGGCUCUAGGCCUCCGUCGGAGCCUCAAAGGAAAGCACAAAUCCCUACAGCGAAUCUAGGAAAGAAAGAAAGAUUUCCAGAUCCUGAUUUACAGGGGGGGGGGGGGGGGGGGGGGGGCAGACUAGCACCGGGUGCACCGACUCCAGUACUGGUUUGUGUACUGGAGUAGAAGAGCCAGUGCCCCGAGUUGCUAUCUCCUGUGGGAGGCAUAGGGUGUAGGUUGAAAAGACUGUUUCCUCCAGCAGCUGGGUCUGGGCAGGCAAAACCAGCUGACAGGUGAAUGUGGUGGAAGGGAGCAAAGACAUAACGCAAAGCAAAACCAAAACAACAACAACAAAAACAAACAACAACAAUACCCCCUCCUCUCCCACUCCCCCCCCCAAAAAAAAAGAAAACCCCAAACUUACUUCUUCGCUGGCGCCUUCCUCGGGAGGCGUUUUGGCUGCCAAUGUAUUCCAUAAAGUUCAAAAUGAUAAAAAAACAAGAAAUCAGUCGCAAGUGCAUAGUAACCCUGUAAUGUUUCCCUUUUUUCUCUCCUUUUUCUUUUCACUGUUAGUUAUAUUUAAUGUUUUUUUUUAAAGAAAAAUAUGUAUGUAGGUGUUAGGCGAGUCUAUACGAAGAGUAGAAAAACCAGAGCAGCGGGACUUCUCCACUGAGAUCCAACAGGCGUGCUGUGAUGGCAAGCGAAGCGGGACGGGUGGACCGGGAAACCAACAAUUGCAUUCUCAAAUUGUCCGAACACAGCCGGCUGCUCUGGGGUGGCUGUCAUCGCCGCGAGCGAAGGUUGCAGGAGCCUCCUGGCUGGCCGCAGGUCCUCACGGAGCUUGUUGUCUAGACCAUUCUCCAGAACCUGGUUGAACUUCCCAUCCUUCACAUCAGUCUGUCUGUUCAAGAACCAGUCUGGAAUCUUGGUGAGUUCUGUAUGAUGGUGAUCAUAUGCUCCACCUCAUCCUACCUGAGCUCGCCUGCCCUCUCGGUGAGGUCAAUGUCUGCUUUCCUCAACAU